GCCGGGCAUGGUGGCUCAUGCCUGUAAUCUAGCACUUUGGGAGGCUGAGGCAGGAGGAUUGCUUGAGCCCAGGAGUUUUUGGCUGCAGUGAGCUAUGAUCAUGCCGCUGCACUCCAGCCUGAGCAACAGAGAAAGACCCUGUCUCUA
rnacentral:SRP_RNA from 2 species